CAAUUGGUCUGGGGAUUUUUUUUGUUUGGUUUCAUCUCAAGGGAAAGGAGUGAAAUGCUCCUGCCGCCCCGCGACUGUGAUCGGGACGAAAGCCGCAACAUUGCCACUGAUCCACCUGAGUUCGGAUUGGGAAGGCGCGGCGAGUAGAAAGAUCGUAAGCCAGGAAACCUGGAUGAGGCCAAGAAACUCAA
rnacentral:ncRNA from 22 species